rnacentral:rRNA from 1 species
CUACCAUUUAGUGGGGAAUAACUGUUGGAAACGACAGCUAAUACCGCAUAAUAUUGCUGGAUAAUUUCCAGUAAUGAAAGGAGCUUUCAAGCUCCGCUGAUUGAUGAGGAUGCGGCGCAUUAGCUAGUUGGUAGGGUAAUGGCCUACCAAGGCAAUGAUGCGUAGCCGAUCUGAGAGGAUGAACGGCCACAUUGGGACUGAGACACGGCCCAAACUUCUACGGAAGGCAGCAGUAGGGAAUUUUUCACAAUGGGCGAAAGCCUGAUGGAGCAAUGCCGCGUGACUGAUGAAGGUCUUCGGAUUGUAAAGGUCUGUUGUAAGGGAAGAAAUGGUAAAACAGGAAAUGGUUUUAUCUAUGACGGUACCUUACCAGAAAGCCACGGCUAACUAUGUGCCAGCAGCCGCGGUAAUACAUAGGUGGCAAGCGUUAUCCGGAUUUAUUGGGCGUAAAGGGNGCGUAGACGGUUUUGCANGUCUGAGGUUAAAUUUAGGAGCUCAACUCCUAAUCGCCUUGGAAACUACAAGACUAGAGUAUAGGAGAGGUUAGUG